UAAUACGGUUUUGCUGAAUUUUCUCCACAAGAACUACAACUGUGGAUUCGUAUAUGUCCUUGGCGUGUACACCCUGUGGAAUCUGGUUCAUCUCCAAUCUGUCAGAAGGCAUCAGAGGUGGUUUUGACUCCGUAUGUCUUGGACCUGUGUACAAAAAGUACGGGCAGGAGAGGAUGCAGGAGACUGUACAAAGUUCAAGAAACGAUAUGCUUUAAUCAAGGGUGUGGGUGGCAGUGUCCGGAAGCCUGCCAGCCCUGAGUGUCACAAAAGUGCAGGAUGUGAAGAAACAGCAGGCAGAAAGGCUCUUUCCCCAACUCAGAAUUGCACUUGUGCCAAGAGCUACCCAAAGACUCUCAUGAAAAUAUUUCAGUAUCUCAGGCUUCCUAAGAAUCACAGGACAUCUCUCAUAAGACAGUUCUGUCACUUUUUCACCUUUACCUCUGGAACCUUGAAAGCGUCAGGCAGGGAAUUAUGCCAUCGCCUUCAUUAUUCUUGUCUCCUCUAAUUUGAUGGCUUCUGGUCACAACUAAACUUUUCUUGGUUAAUUAUAAAACAAGAAUUCGCACAAAUCAAUGGUGUAUUUAAUAUGAGUGAAUGGAAGAAGGGGUCUUCUCUACAGCUCAGCCACCCACCCAAAUGCUGUGUUUGAUUCUGGUUCUGUAAUCUGCUAUUUACAGUUAAGCCUGUGGAAAAGUAGCAAUUUAGGGGGUUUUCCUUCAUCUCACUCCCACUGUUCCCUUCCCUUUAUACACCUUUUCCCACUGGAGCAUAUUUAAAAGAAAUGCAAUAGCUUAAAAUAUGUUUGAGGAUAGGAGGGGUUUUUCAAUUGCUGGCCCUUUUUGUAGGCAUAUUGACUGUUAGCACCUUUUUGUUAUUUAUAAAGAGGAAGAAGACUGAGAAUCUUUCUGCCAUGAUAUUUCUCAAAGUGUGCCAAAUGGAUUACUACCUGCUUUAUUAAUCUAUAAGAGGACUCUAUUCUGAUAACUUUGGCAUAGUUCUAUAAAAAGGGAAACUACCUGUUUAGACUUGCUUGGAAGUUGUCUAGUAAUUACCAAUUCAAAUGUAAUGGGAUUGAAUAUAUUGCUUUGAAAAUAAGAGGUAAAAUCAUUUUUAAGUGUAUAUUUUUGGAAAGAUAACACCGUUUUGUAGUAUUUUAAUUUCAGUCGCACCAGUGUAACAGCUGAACAGCUAUUAGAGAAAUGUAUUAAUUAAAAACCGUUUGUGGAUCAAUUGUGUAUGAGAAUUUCUUAUUAGUUUUCUUAUGGACUUGUGCCUUUUUAAGAACUGUCAUUUUGUACAAAUUUUAAUUGAAGAUGUAUCUCUGGUUCUUUGUAACUUAUGAAAUUCAAUAUAUUCUCUCUUGCAGACAGCACCGAUGACUAUAUUAAUAUAGAAAGAACCAAGUUCAAGUGUCAAAAACAAGUUAAACCAUUGAUUUUAUUAGACAAUACCAAGUCCAACUAACAUUAAUGGAGCCCCUAGUCUAGCUAGACAUCAUGCUAUUAAAUGAUAUCACUUAUUUAACUUAUGAUCCUUCAAACUUAUUUAACUUAUGAUCCAUUCCAAAGUGAGGAAUAAUAUAGGUAUUCAUAUUCACAUUUUACAGAUAAAAAAUGUGAAAUCUGAACAAGUUAGAUGUUGACUCCAUGUCUAGUUAGUAACAGAGGUGGGAUUUGUAGCCAGAGUUCCGGAUGCCAAUGUGGAAGUUAAGAAGUGAUUUUGCUUUUAUUGGAUUGAUGACCUCAGUUUAACUCAUCUACCUCAAAAUCUGCAAAACUUUUCUGGAACUAUUAAAUGAGUCAACAUUCUUGUGAAUUAUUACACAUAUUUGGUGGAUGAGGGCAAAAUAUGAGAAAAUUACAUUCUUCUUUCUGAUAAGAAUAUUCCUCUAAGUAAAUAAUCAGCAUAUGCUUCCAUUUAAAUUAUUUUUAGGUGAUAAAAGGCAAUUAAAUAACCUGACUAUAAUUUUAUUAUGUCUUAGAUAGCCUUAGCUUUGUGCUGCUUAAAAUAAUGACUUUGAAACUCUUAAAAAUAAAUACAUUCUGUUCAUUAAUGCUAAAUGAUUUUUUUCAUUUCUGAAGUUUUUACUUUGAAAUAUUUCAAACCUAUCAAUAAACUAAAAACAUAUAUAAUGAACACUCAUAUGCCUCAUCUAAGUACACCAGAGGUUACCAAUUUCCUACAUUUCCAGUCUCUCUGUCUCUCUCUGUGUCCUUCUCACACACAGAGAUAUAUUUACUGAACCAUUUAGAACUCAGUUGCAGACAUCAUGAUAAUUCACCCCAAAUACUUCAACAUCUAUUUCUUCAAGACAAGGACAUUCUUCUUCAUAACUUUAAUGCUGUUGUUACACCCAAAGUAUAAACUACUGAUGUAAGAAAAAUACCCGAUAUCAGUCCAUAUUAAAAUUUUUCCAUUAUGACAUUCAUAUUUCUUAUAGUUGUUUCACUUUUCAACUGAUGAUUCAAUCAAGGAUUAUUCGAUACCCUUAGUUGCCUUGUCUUUAAUAUAGAAUAGUCCCUCUCUUGUCUCAUGAAUUUGAAAUUUUGAAAAGUCCAGGCCAGUGUUUUUUUGUUUGUUUGUUUGUUUUUGUUUUUACAAUGUCCCACUGAUUAUUUCUGUAUUUUUUAGAAUCAGUUUAAAUAGUUUUUGUCAAGAAUAAUAAAUAGAUGAUCUUGUGUCCUUCUCAGUGUAUCUCAUUAAUAAUAUUGACUUGUUCCAUUAUUAGUGAUGCUUUAUUGUUUAUUUGAUUAAAGCGAUGUCUCUGAGAUGCUUUCAUUGUAAAAGGUAAACUGUUUUCUUGCAGUUGAUAGAUAACUGUGGUUAAUGUUUUAGGAAUCUAUACAAAUCUUGCUCUCAAAAAAUUGAUUUAGUAUUUUUU
ensembl:lncRNA